rnacentral:lncRNA from 1 species
GAUUUUAGUGCAUAUCCAAAGCUAGCAGGAAAAGAUGUCUGGUCGACGGGUACGAAAGCAUCUGAACGAGUACCGGGAAACCCAAACGUCAGUUCCAUGGGGAAAUAUGUCCCACAUCCCUGGCAGAGCAACUCUGAGAACAAUCAACCUGAACUUCUCUUGCCAGUUUCUGCAGGUGGAACCAGUUUUUCUGGUCCUGGGAAUCCUUCUGGUGGAGAAUGCAUUAAUUCAGUUACUGACUCAUCUUGUGCUCUCUCUCUUCUGUCAAAUGAAUCAUGGGGCUCCAGAAACCGAACGACGACUAUCGAGGUAAACGCCUUGUUGAAUGCUGAAGGUACACUUGUGGCUCAAACAACAGCGGAUGCCGCUACCAAUCAUUUUCCGACAAUGUCGUGGGGUUUCAAGGGGAAUGAAGCUCCCACUAGCAGCUUUCGGGACCUGACAUCUGAUCUGGGUCUCAAUCACCAAGUUUCACAUGCUCUUACCAGUUCUUUCUCUGGUGAUGUCCAGUUUCCGCAUCUAGCUAGG